rnacentral:rRNA from 1 species
GACGAACGCUGGCGGCGUGCUUAACACAUGCAAGUCGAACGGAAAGGCCCCUUUGGGGGUACUCGAGUGGCGCACGGGUGAGUAACACGUGAGUAACCUGCCCUUGACUUCGGGAUAACUUCAGGCAACUGGGGCUAAUACCGGAUAGGAAUCCUUGCUGCAUGGUGGGGGUUGGAAAGCUUCGGCGGUUUUGGAUGGACUCGCGGCUUUUCAGCUUGUUGGUGGGGUAGUGGCUUACCAAGGCUUUGACGGGGAGCCGGCCUGAGAGGGCGACCGGCCACAAUGGGACUGAGAGACGGCCCAGACUCCGACGGGAGGCAGCAGGGGGGAAGAUUGCACAAUGGGCGGAAGACUGAUGCAGCAACGCCGCGUGCGGGAGGACGGCCUUCGGGUUGUAAACCGCUUUCAGCAGGGGCGAAGCUUGUGGUGACGGUACCUGCAGAAGAAGCACCGGCUAACUACGUG